rnacentral:rRNA from 1 species
AUUGAACGCUGGCGGCAGGCCUAACACAUGCAAGUCGAACGAGUGGCAGACGGGUGAGUAAUGUCUGGGAAACUGCCCGAUGGAGGGGGAUAACUACUGGACACGGUAGCUAAUACCGCAUAACCUCGGAUACGCCCAGGUGGGAUGAGCUAGUAGGGGGGGUAAUGGCUCCCAUAGGCGACAAUCCCUAGCUGGUCUGAGAGGAGGACCAGCCACACUGGAACUGGGACACGGCCCAGACGCCUAAGGGCGUCAGCAGUGGGGAAUAUUGCACAAUGGGCGCAAGCCUGAUGCAGCCACUCCGCGUGUAUGAAGAAGGCCUUCGGGUUGUAAAGUACUUUCAGCGGGGAGGCGUUACCCGCAGAAGAAGCACCGGCUAACUCCGUGCCAGCAGCCGCGGUAAUAC